rnacentral:rRNA from 1 species
UACGUAGGGUGCGAGCGUUGUCCGGAAUUAUUGGGCGUAAAGAGCUCGUAGGCGGUUUGUCGCGUCUGCUGUGAAAACUCAGGGCUUAACUCUGAGCUUGCAGUGGGUACGGGCAGACUUGAGUGCGGUAGGGGAGACUGGAAUUCCUGGUGUAGCGGUGAAAUGCGCAGAUAUCAGGAGGAACACCGAUGGCGAAGGCAGGUCUCUGGGCAUUAACUGACGCUGAGGAGCGAAAGCAUGGGGAGCGAACAGG